CCGGUGACCAACGGCUUCUUGACGCGAGCCACCGUGACCUAAGGCGUGCGAGAGCAGCAGCCCUCAACAUAGUCCCAACAUCAACAGGAGCAGCUAAAGCAGUGGCCCUUGUCCUCCCAACACUCAAAGGCAAGCUCAACGGUAUUGCGCUUCGUGUGCCAACACCAAACGUUUCGGUGGUGGACCUCGUCGUUCAAGUCUCAAAGAAGACAUUUGCUGAAGAAGUGAAUGAGGCUUUUAGAGAGAGUGCAGCCAAGGAGCUGACUGGUAUUCUCUCGGUCUGUGACGAGCCACUCGUGUCUGUAGAUUUUAGGUGCACCGAUGUGUCGUCUACCGUUGAUUCGUCAUUGACAAUGGUCAUGGGCGAUGACUUGGUUAAGGUGAUUGCUUGGUAUGAUAAUGAGUGGGGUUAC
rnacentral:lncRNA from 1 species